GGAGCGUGUGCUUUGGUGAUCCAUCUGAACAUCGAUCGCUGACACUUUCGGCCGAUCUGUCCAGGUUAGGCGUCCCUACACUCACACACUAUCCAUGGUGUUGCUGUUCCCGCUGCCUCGCGCACGGUUGAACGCACCCAUCCAUAUCUAAGAAUUGGGUUUAUUACAGGUACGACCUGGCUUCUCUGUCACGCUAGUGUAGAUCAAAUUGGGAAGUUGGGGGAGACUUCAAAUUAUGACGCUCCACUACGGCACUGCACGUGGCAGUAUGCCAUUCACA
rnacentral:snRNA from 1 species